UACAGAGGUCCCAAGCGUUGUUCGGAUUCAUUGGGCGUAAAGGGUGCGUAGGUGGCCUGGUAAGUCGGGUGUGAAAUCCCGGGGCUCAACCCCGGAACUGCACUCGAUACUGCCGUGCUCGAGUACUGGAGAGGAGACUGGAAUUUACGGUGUAGCAGUGAAAUGCGUAGAUAUCGUAAGGAAGACCGGUGGCGAAGGCUAGUCUCUGGACAGUUACUGACACUGAGGCACGAAAGCCAGGGGAGCAAACGGG
rnacentral:rRNA from 1 species